rnacentral:rRNA from 1 species
GACGAACGCUGGCGGCGUGCUUAACACAUGCAAGUCGAACGAAGUGGCGAACGGGUGAGUAACGCGUAAUCAACCUGCCCUUCAGAGGGGGACAACAGUGGGAAACGACUGCUAAUACCGCAUACUGAAGGAGGGGAUUGCGUCUGAUUAGCUAGGUGGAGGGGUAACGGCCCACCACGGCGAGGAUCAGUCGCAGGUUUGAGAGGAUGAACGGCCACAUUGGGACUGAGACACGGCCCAGACUCCGACGGGAGGCAGCAGGGGGGAAUCUUCCGCAAUGGACGAAAGUCUGACGGAGCAACGCCGCGUGAGUGAUGACGGCCUUCGGGUUGUAAAGCUCUGUUAAUCGGGACGCGGUACCGGAAUAGAAAGCCACGGCUAACUACGUGCCAGCAGCCGCGGUAAUUC